rnacentral:rRNA from 1 species
CCAGACUCCUACGGGAGGCAGCAGUGAGGAAUAUUGGUCAAUGGGCGUGAGCCUGAACCAGCCAAGUAGCGUGCAGGAUGACGGCCCUAUGGGUUGUAAACUGCUUUUAUACGGGGAUAAAAGGGUGAACGUGUUCUCCUUUGCAGGUACCGUAUGAAUAAGGACCGGCUAAUUCCGUGCCAGCAGCCGCGGUAAUACGGAAGGUCCUGGCGUUAUCCGGAUUUAUUGGGUUUAAAGGGAGCGCAGGCUGCACUUUAAGCGUGUUGUGAAAUGUACCGGCUCAACCGGUAACGUGCAGCGCGAACUGGGGUGCUUGAGUACGAAGAGGGAAGGCGGAACUCGUGGUGUAGCGGUGAAAUGCUUAGAUAUCACGAGGAACUCCGAUCGCGAAGGCAGCUUUCCGUUUCGGAACUGACGCUGAGGCUCGAAAGUGCGGGUAUCGAACAGGAUUAGAUACCCUGGUAGUCCGCACGGUAAACGAUGGAUGCUCGCUGUUGGAUAUUUUUAUUCAGUGGCUAAGUGAAAACGUUAAGCAUCCCACCUGGGGAGUACGCCGGCAACGGUGAAACUCAAAGGAAUUGACGGGGGCCCCGCACAAG